rnacentral:rRNA from 1 species
UACGGAAGGCAGCAGUGGGGAAUAUUGCACAAUGGGCGCAAGCCUGAUGCAGCCAUGCCGCGUGUAUGAAAAAAGGCCCUUCGGGUUGUAAAGUACUUUCAGUCGUGAGGAAGGUGUUAAGGUUAAUAACCUUAGCAAUUGACGUUAGCGACAGAAGAAGCACCGGCUAACUCCGUGCCAGCAGCCGCGGUAAUACGGAGGGUACGAGCGUUAAUCGGAAUUACUGGGCGUAAAGGGCACGCAGGCGGUUAAUUAAGUUUGGAUGUGAAAUCCCCGGGCUUAACCUGGGAAUGGCAUUCAAGACUGGUUUAGCUAGAGUCUUGUAGAGGGGGUGGAAUUCCAUGUGUAGCGGUGAAAUGCGUAGAGAUGUGGAGGAAUACCGGUGGCGAAGGCGGCCCCUGGACAAAGACUGACGCUCAUGUGCGAAAGCGUGGGGAGGCAAAACAGGGAUUAGAU